AGCUGUAGUUUGAUCCUGGCUCAAGAACGAACGCUGGCGGCGUGUUUAAGACAUGCAAAGUCGCGACGGGAUCAUUUUGGUAGUAAUACUCGAAUGGUCUAGUGGCUCACGGGUGAGUAACAUGUGAAUUACAUGCCCUUCACGUGGGAAUAGCCCAGGGAAACUUGGAUUAAUACCCCGAUGGUAUCGCUAAGAUUAAAGGUGGCCGCAAGGCUGUCGCUGAAGGAUUGGUUCGCACCCUAUCAGCUUGUUGGU
rnacentral:rRNA from 1 species